rnacentral:rRNA from 1 species
UUUUGGACAAUGGGCGCAAGCCUGAUCCAGCAAUGCCGCGUGAGUGAAGAAGGCCUUCGGGUUGUAAAGCUCUUUUGUCAGGGAAGAAACGGUGAGCUCUAAUACAGUUUGCUAAUGACGGUACCUGAAGAAUGAGCACCGGCUAACUACGUGCCAGCAGCCGCGGUAAUACGUAGGGUGCAAGCGUUAAUCGGAAUUACUGGGCGUAAAGCGUGCGCAGGCGGUUAUGUAAGUCAGAUGUGAAAUCCCCGGGCUCAACCUGGGAAUAGCAUUUGAGACUGCAUGGCUAGAGUGUGUCAGAGGGGGGUAGAAUUCCACGUGUAGCAGUGAAAUGCGUAGAGAUGUGGAGGAAUACCGAUGGCGAAGGCAGCCCCCUGGGAUAACACUGACGCUCAUCACGAA